rnacentral:rRNA from 1 species
UUCCGUAGGUGAACCUGCGGAAGGAUCAUUGUCGAGACCU